CCUACGGGCGGCAGCAGUGAGGAAUAUUGGUCAAUGGCCGGAAGGCUGAACCAGCCAAGCCGCGUGAAUGACGAAGGUGCCAAGCAUUUUAAACUUCGUUUGUCAAGGGACAAAAUCAGGCUCGAGAGCCUGACCUCGUUUACUUGAAGAAAAAGCAUCGGCUAACUCCGUUCCAGCAGCCGCGGUAAUACGGGGGAUGCGAGCGUUAUCCGGAUUUAUUGGGUUUAAAGUGUGCGUAGGCGGACUGUUAAGUCAGCGGUAAUAUCCCGGGGCUCAACCCCGGAGAGCCGUUGAAACUGGUUGUCUUGAGAUGUCGAGAGGUAUGCGGAAUGCGAAGUGUAGCGGUGAAAUGCUUAGAUAUUGCGCAGAACUCCGAUUGCGAAGGCAGCAUACCGGCGGCGAUCUGACGCUGAGGCACGAAAGCGUGGGUAUCGAACAGGAUUAGAUACCCGGGUAGUC
rnacentral:rRNA from 1 species